UACGAGGGGUGCGAGCGUUAUUCGGAAUCAUUGGGCGUAAAGGGUGCGUAGACGGCGUAUUAAGUUGGUUGUUAAAUUUCUCGGCUCAACCGAGAACCUGCGAUCGAUACUGGUAUGCUAGAGGAUGGAAGAGAGAAGUGGAAUUCUCGGAGUAGCGGUAAAAUGCGUAGAUAUCGAGAGGAACACCGAUGGCGAAGGCAGCUUCUUGGUCCAUUCCUGACGUUGAGGCACGAAAGCGUGGGGAGCAAACAGG
rnacentral:rRNA from 1 species